rnacentral:SRP_RNA from 1 species
GCUGGGCGUGGUAGCGCGCGCCUGUAAUCCCAGCUGCUCAGGAGGCUGAGGCAGGAGAAUUGCUUGAACCCAGGAGACAGGGGUUGCAGUGAGCCGAGAUCAUGCCACUGCAUUCCAGCCUGGGCAAUAGAGCAAGACUCAGUCUCAA